rnacentral:rRNA from 1 species
CUAGAGCCAAUACUUGCACUGAUAUCUAACAAGCAAAUGCUUCUUGUUAGAUGCAUUUAUUGGAUAUCCGAUCGCUCACAUUGCGAGCGUUAGGUGAUUCUAAAUGACUUUGCUGAUCGUAUGGCCAUGUGCCGACGACAGAUCAAACAAGAUCGCGCCCUAUCAAUUUGUUGUUAGGAUAUUUUCCUAACAAGGUUGUAACGGGUGACGGGGAAUCAGGGUUUGAUUCCGGAGAGGGAGCAUGAGAUAUAGCUACCACAUCUAAGGAAGGCAGCAGGCGCGCAAAUUACCCACUCCCGACACGGGGAGGUAGUGACGAGAAAUAUCGGCUCCUAUUCAAUUGAGUAGGAGACCGAAAUGGACGAAAUUCAGGUCCAUUCGUGAGUAACAAGCAGAGGGCAAGUCUGGUGCCAGCAGCCGCGGUAAUUCCAGCUCUGCACGCAUAUGCGAGAUUUGUUGCAUUUAAAAAGCUCGUAGUCGGACGGUUCCACAAUUUUGUCGAUUGGACACUGCAUGUGCUGCAUAAUUUUGUCUACCUAACUAAGGAGGCAACAAAAUUUUUGUUAGUUCACUACAGUGCUCUUAAUAUUGACUAGUUGUGGACAAACGCAAGCUCCUGAUCUGCCCUUAAUUGGGUGUAUCAGCUGUAAGUUUG